rnacentral:piRNA from 4 species
UUGAUUUGCAUUUCCCUGAUGAUUAA